CAAUAGCGUAUAUUUAAGUUGCUGCAGUUGAAAAGCUCGUAGUUGGAUUUCGGGUGGGAAUGGCCGGUCCGCCGUUUCGGUGUGCACUUGCUACGCCCACCUUGCUGCCGGGGACGUGCUCUUGAGUUCACGCUCGGGACACGGAGUCGGCGAGGUUACUUUGAGUAAAUUAGAGUGUUCAAAGCAGGCCUACGCUCUGAAUACAUUAGCAUGGGAUAACACGAUAGGACUCUGGCCUAUCUUGUUGGUCUGUAGGACCGGAGUAAUGAUUAAGAGGGACAGUCGGGGGCAUUCGUAUUUCAUUGUCAGAGGUGAAAUUCUUGGAUUUAUGAAAGACGAACUACUGCGAAAGCAUUUGCCAAGGAUGUUUUCAUUAA
rnacentral:rRNA from 1 species